UUCCGGUUGAUCCUGCCGGACCUGACUGCUAUCGGAUUGAUACUAAGCCAUGCGAGUCUUUGUAGUAAUACAAGGCAGACGGCUCAGUAACACGUAGUCAACCUACCCUAUGGACGAGAAUAAUCUCGGGAAACUGAGCAUAAUUCUUGAUAGAUCAUAAUGCCUGGAAUGGUUUAUGGUUAAAAUGAUUCGUCGCCAUAGGAUGGGACUGCGGCCUAUCAGCUUGUUGGUGAGGUAAUGGCCCACCAAGGCGAUUACAGGUACGGGCUCUGAGAGGAGAAGCCCGGAGAUGGGUACUGAGACACGGACCCAGGCCCUAUGGGGCGCAGCAGGCGAGAAAACUUUGCAAUGUGCGAAAGCACGACAAGGUUAAUCCGAGUGAUUUCUGCUAAAGAAAUCUUUUGCCAGUCGUAAAAUCGCUGGUGAAUAAGGGGUGGGCAAGUUCUGGUGUCAGCCGCCGCGGUAAAACCAGCACCUCAAGUGGUCAGGAUGAUUAUUGGGCCUAAAGCAUCCGUAGCCGGCUUUGUAAGUUUUCGGUUAAAUCCAUGUGCUCAACGCAUGGGCUGCCGAAAAUACUGCAUAGCUAGGGAGUGGGAGAGGUAGACGGUACUCAGUAGGUAGGGGUAAAAUCCUUUGAUCUAUUGAUGACCACCUGUGGCGAAGGCGGUCUACCAGAACACGUUCGACGGUGAGGGAUGAAAGCUGGGGGAGCAAACCGGAUUAGAUACCCGGGUAGUCCCAGCUGUAAACGAUGCAGACUAGAUGAUGCAUUGGCAUAAUAGCCAUUGCAGUGUCUCAGGGAAGCCGUUAAGUCUGCCGCCUGGGAAGUACGUACGCAAGUAUGAAACUUAAAGGAAUUGGCGGGGGAGCACCACAAGGGGUGAAGCCUGCGGUUCAAUUGGAGUCAACGCCGG
rnacentral:rRNA from 1 species